rnacentral:rRNA from 1 species
ACAGAGACUGCAAGCGUUACUCGGAUUCACUGGGCGUAAAGGGAGCGCAGGCGGACUCGUGUGUCGGACGUGAAAUACCGGGGCUUAACCCCGGUGCUGCGUUCGAAACUACGAGUCUAGAGACUUGGAGGGGUAAGCGGAAUUCUUGGUGGAGCAGUGAAAUGCGUAGAUAUCAAGAGGAACACCAACGGCGAAGGCAGCUUACUGGACAAGAUCUGACGCUCAGGCUCGAAAGCGUGGGGAGCAAAAGGGAUUAGAUACCCCUGUAGUCCACGCUGUAAACGGUGCGCAUUAGGUCUUGGAGCUUUCGAACGCUCCAGGGCUCAAGCUAACGCAUUAAAUGCGCCGCCUGAGGACUACGGCCGCAAGGCUA